UACGUAGGGCGCAAGCGUUGUCCGGAAUUAUUGGGCGUAAAGAGCUCGUAGGCGGCUUGUCACGUCGGGUGUGAAAGCCCGGGGCUUAACCCCGGGUCUGCAUUCGAUACGGGCUGGCUAGAGUGUGGUAGGGGAGAUCGGAAUUCCUGGUGUAGCGGUGAAAUGCGCAGAUAUCAGGAGGAACACCGGUGGCGAAGGCGGAUCUCUGGGACGGUACUGACGCUGAGACGCGAAAGCGUGGGGAGCGAACAGG
rnacentral:rRNA from 1 species